CUCUCUCUCCAUAUAUAUCAAAAAAUAUUAAUUUUUAAAUGGUUAAGAUCAUGUAACAAUUCAACUGGCUAACAAUAAUAAAUCGUUGAACUCGCGGAUCAAAAUUAUUUUAGAGCUGGCCCGGCCUUCAGGAUCAGAAUUAUUUUUUUAUUCGAUAUGGGACUAUUGGAUCAGAAUUAAUAGGCAAUAUAAGAUUCCAGAGUAGGUCCGUCAAAAUCAGAAUUAUUUUUUCAUCCGAUAUGAGAUUUUAGAGUAGGCCCGUUAGAAUUAUUUUAUCAUCCGAUAUUGGACUAUUGAACCAAAAUUAUUAGGCAAUAUGAAGAUCAGAAUUAUUUUUUUAUCCGAUAUGGGACUAUUGGAUCAAAAUUAUUAGAUAAUACGAGUAUGGGACUAUUGGAUAUGGGACUAUUCGACCAAAAUUAUCAGAUAAUAUGAGAUUCUAGAGCAGGCCCCAUAAUGAAUUAUUUGCAUAGUACUUAACUCUAUUGGAUAUGGUACUAUUGGACUAGAAUUAUCAGGCAAUGUGAGAUUCUAGAGCAAGCCCGUCAUAAUCAAAAUUAUUUGCAUAGUACUUAGCUCUUACAUUUCCUACUGUUAUUUGACUCUAUUGGAUAUGGGACUAUUGGACUAGAAUUAUCAGGCAAUGUGAGAUUCUAGAGCAAGCCCAUCAUAAUCAAAAUUAUUUGCAUAGUACUUAGCUCCUACAUUUCCUAUUGAUAUUUGACUCUAUUGGAUAUGGGACUAUUGGACUAGAAUGAUAUUUGACUAUAAUACUAAUUAUAACUACUCGAUCCACUAGCAAUAAUAACGUUCAAAAUGUUUAAGUCAAAUUAUUAUUUUUAGGGUACGAGAUCUCAUAUAUUUGAAUCAGAAUUAUUUUUUCAUCCGAUAUGGAACUAUUGGGGCAUUAUAUAUCACCACAAAGUUAUUUAAUUGUAUAUAGUUACAAUUGUAUAUAGUUGUUACUACAUGUAGAUUUAAAUUGAUGUUCGAUUUUGUUGCAUUUGAAUGGAAUGUGCUCAAAUUGGUCACAAUUCUAAUUGGAGAAAAUAGUUUUAAAUAGGAAUUGAAUAAU
rnacentral:lncRNA from 1 species